rnacentral:rRNA from 2 species
CAAACGACUCUCGGCAACGGAUAUCCCGGCUCUCGCAUCGAUGAAGAACGUAGCGAAAUGCGAUACUUGGUGUGAAUUGCAGAAUCCCGUGAACCAUCGAGUCUUUGAACGCAAGUUGCGCCCGAAGCCACUAGGCCGAGGGCACGUCUGCCUGGGUGUCACG